UGGAUGAUGUGGUUUAAUUCGAUGCAACGCGAAAACCUUACCCACCUUUGACAUGGCAGGAAUCCUAAAGAGAUUUGGGAGUGCUCGAAAGAGAACCUGCACACAGGUGCUGCAUGGCUGUCGUCAGCUCGUGUCGUGAGAUGUUGGGUUGAGUCCCGCAACGAGCGCAACCCUUGCCAUUAGUUGCUACGAAAGGGCACUCUAAUGGGACUGCCGGUGACAAACCGGAGGAAGGUGGGGAUGACGUCAAGUCCUCAUGGCCCUUAUAGGUGGGGCUACACACGUCAUACAAUGGCCGGUACAGAGGGUAGCCAACCCGCGAGGGGGAGCCAAUCCCACAAAGCCGGUCGUAGUCCGGAUCGCAGUCUGCAACUCGACUGCGUGAAGUCGGAAUCGCUAGUAAUCGCGGAUCAGCAUGUCGCGGUGAAUACGUUCCCGGGUCUU
rnacentral:rRNA from 1 species